rnacentral:snRNA from 1 species
AGCUUUGCAAUGCGGCGAUAUCUUAACCACUGAGGUACAACCGAGGUGCGAUUAUUACUAGUUGAAAAUUAUUCCUGAAUUGAAAUAUUAGUUACGCAUAAUUGGCAUAUUUACAAAU